GACAGAGGUGCCGAGCGUUAGGCGGAAUCACUGGGCUUAAAGCGUGUGUAGGCGGACGUCUAAGUACCUUGUGAAAUCCCACGGCUCAACCGUGGAACGGCUUGGUAUACUGGGCGUCUUGAGCCACUUAGGGGUCGUCGGAACAAGCGGUGGAGCGGUGAAAUGCGUAGAUAUCGCUUGGAACGCCAAUGGUGAAAACAGACGACUGGGAGUGUGCUGACGCUGAGACACGAAAGCCAGGGGAGCGAACGGG
rnacentral:rRNA from 1 species